rnacentral:rRNA from 1 species
GUGAGUUCCGUGGACUGUAUAGGAGAGAGAAUGUUGGCAUGAGUAGCGAGAGGCAGGUGAGAAUCCUGCCCGCCGAAAAUCUGAGGUUUCCUGAGGAAGGUUCGUCCGCUCAGGGUAAGUCGGGACCUAAGCCGAGAGCGAAAGCUGUAGGCGAUGGACAACAGGUUGAGAUUCCUGUACCACCGAAAGUCGUUUGAAUGAAGUGGGGACGCAGGAGGAUAGACAGAGCACGCCGUUGGUAGAGCGUGUCCAAGCACGGAGUGUAUCGGGUAGGCAAAUCCGCUCGGUGAAAAGCAUGACGUGUGACGGGGAGGGAAAAUAGUACCGAAGCUGUCGAUUUCACACUGCCAAGAAAAGCCGCUAAUGAGACUGUAGGUGCCCGUACCGCAAACCGACACAGGUAGAUGAGGAGAGAAUCCUAAGGCGAGCGAGAGAACUAUUGUUAAGGAACUCGGCAAAAUGACCCCGUAACUUAGGGAGAAGGGGUGCCUGCGAAAGCAGGCCGCAGUGAAAAGGCCCAGGCGACUGUUUACCAAAAACACAGGUCUCUGCGAAAGCGAAAGCUGAAGUAUAGGGGCUGACGCCUGCCCGGUGCUGGAAGGUUAAGGGGAAGUGUUAUCGAAAGAGAAGCACAGAACUUAAGCCCCAGUAAACGGCGGCCGUAACUAUAACGGUCCUAAGGUAGCGAAAUUCCUUGUCGGGUAAGUUCCGACCCGCACGAAAGGCGUAACGAUCUGGGCACUGUCUCGACAAUAGACUCGGUGAAAUUGUAGUACCGGUAAAGAUGCCGGUUACCCGCAGCAGGACGGAAAGACCCCGUGGAGCUUUACUGUAGCUUGAUAUUGGAUUUCGGCAUUGCAUGUACAGGAUAGGUGGGAGACGUUGAGCUAUGCACGCCAGUGUGUAGGGAGUCGCCGUUGGGAUACCACUCUUGUAAUGUUGAGGUUCUAACCUUGUACCGUGAUCCGGUAUGGGGACAGUGUCAGGUGGGCAGUUUGACUGGGGCGGUCGCCUCCUAAAGAGUAACGGAGGCGCCCAAAGGUUCCCUCAGUGCGGUUGGAAAUCGUGCGAAGAGUGCAAAGGCAGAAGGGAGCUUGACUGCGAGACCUACAAGUCGAGCAGGGACGAAAGUCGGGCUUAGUGAUCCGGUGGUACCGAGUGUUAGGCCAUCGCUGAACGGAUAAAAGUACCCCGGG